UGACCUUCUUCGACGUAAAGGAAGUCAUGCACAAAUAACUUCAGGCCGUACUUGAGCCACGCAAAGGCCACGAGUUUUACUAUCUCCUUCGAAAAAUGCGGAAAGUAGAUGGCUGGCCUCUUAUGUCUGUGAGAUAGAUCGACCACCCCAACGUGGAACUUUGUUUGUGGAACAGCGCUGCAUCACGUCGAGUGCUGAUGUCGUAAAGAGUUUGCUGCUAUCUUCUGCGCGCGCCCAAUGCUCCCGGCUGCCAUGUUCUGCAGACUUGUCAUGGAAAAGUGCUACCUUGGUACUAAAUUUGGGAAAACAUGCAACUUCUUUCACAAAUGAUAAGUAAAAAUACGUACCUACUGUCUACCUGUCUAAUACUACCUGUCUCCUACAAACAUAAUAAUAUUUAAGCGUAUA